rnacentral:lncRNA from 9 species
UUUUUUUUUUUGUAUUUUUAGGACUGCAACUGCAGCAUAUGCUGGUUCCCAGGUUAGGGGUCAAAUCAGAGCUGUAGCUACCAGCCACAGCCAUAGCCACAGCCACAGCAACAAGAGAUCCGAGCCAUGUCUGUGACCUACACCACAGCUCAUGGCAACGCUGGAUCCUCAACCCACUGAGCAAGGCUGGGAAUGGAACCCAUGUCCUCAUGGAUGCUAGUUGGGUUUGUCAACCACUAAACCACGAUGGGGAACUCUUGCAGUGGGAUUCUUAACCCACUGUGCCAGGGAGGAAACUCCCUGUCUCAGAUUUUUUUGAUUGCAGCAGAACUCCAAGGGGUUCCAGGCUGGGAAGGCCAGUGUCCUGACCUUGGCUGCAAAGUGUUAGGGAUCCAUAGGGCUCUCCUCUCACAACCCUGAGAGUUUUGGAGGAGGGUGUGGCCUUGCCAGCUGCUCUGACCUAAGGAAGCCUGCAGCCUCCUGUGGUGUCUGGUUGCUCUGGCAAAAACCCCCAAGGCUUCCCUGUGUCUGCUGCUAUCUUCUGGUUCUUCCAAAGCCCUCCCAGUCCGAAUGAGAUAUCUGAGAGCACCUGUCAUGUCUGGCCCAUGUGCCCCACUUCCCCACCCCCUUCCCCUUCCCGGGAGGGUAUGGAGAAGUGGCUGAACCUGCAGAUAUUCUGGGCAUGCCCUGUCACUUUUCCCCACAGCUUUCGUCUUCAUCUUCUCAAAUGUCUCUUGGAGCGCUGGCUCCCAGCCUCCUGCUGCCAGAAUUGAAACUUGUUAGGAUUGGCUUUGUCUGCCUGGCCUCAGAGCUUCCAGAGCAAAGACAAGAGGGGAAGGGCCUGUGGGGCUGGGCAACUCUGGGGCUGCAUGGCCCAGUGGAGUCAGGAGGGCUGGAAACCACUCUGACUCAACUUGCGCUGGUACCUUCCGGUGCUGGAGGAAACUCAGGGCUCCCAUAGUCUGCUCUGGAAACUCCCAGUGAUCUGGUUAAGUGUGUGGGCUCUGAAUCCGCUAUCCCACCACUCACUGGCUCUAUGACCUAGCCCAAGAUGCUUAGCUUUUCUGAGCUUCAGUUUCCCCAUGUAUGUAAAUACAAAAUAGUAUGCAGACAGACAAUAAGCAUUAGCUAUAAUAACAUUUAUUAUCAUCAUUAUCAUCAUCAUCUUCAUCAUUAUUAUUUAAGGCUGCACCUAUAGCAUAUGGAAGUUCCCAGGUUAGGGGUCCAAUUGAAGCUGCAGCUGAGACCUAUGCCACAGCCAUGGCAAGACCAGAUCAGAAUCACAUCUGUGGGAUCUGAGUCACAUCUGUGAUAGCCUGCAGCAGUUCCAGAUCCUUAACCCACUGAGUGAGGCCAGGGAUUGAACCAGUGUCCUCACAGACAUUAUGUCAGCUUUUCAACCCACCAAGCCACAAUGGGAACUCCAAUACUAUUUCUAAUAUUAUCAGUUGCAUCCCUCAUCUUCAAGAGCUGUGAAUCCCAAAUGUCAUUUGUCCAAUGACAUUCCCUCAAAUCUCAGGCCAUCCUUUCCUAGUUCUCCCUGUUUAACAAUUUUAUUAAAGUAUAGUUGACUCAUUAAAAUGUAUAAUAUGAUAUAUUUUGAUACAUAUGCACACUUAGGAAACCAUCACUACAAUCAAGAUGAUGAAAAUAUUCAUUGUGCUUAAAAGUUUCCCUUGGCAAUCCUUUCCGUACCUCCCUGUCCUACAUCCUUUGCCUCCAGUCCUCAGGCAAACACUGGCUUGUUUUCUGUCCCUAUAGAUUAGUUUGUAUUUUGUAGUGCUUUAUGUAAAUAGAAUCAUACGGUAUGUACUUUUUUGUCUGGCUUAUUUCACUUAGCAUACAUCUUUUGAGAUUCAUUCAUGUUGUUGUAUGUAUCAAGAUUUAUUGUUUUUUAUUGCUGAGAACUAUUCUAUUAUAAGGAUAUAUCAUAAUUUGUUGAGCCAUUCACCUGUUGAUGGACUUUUGGGUCAUUUCCAGUUUUCAGCUAGUUUGAAUAAAGUUGCCGUGAACAACAUUCUUGUGCAAGUCUUUAUAUGAACAUAUGCUUUCACUUAUUUUGGUUAAGCAUAUAGGAGUGGAAUGGUUAGGUCAUGUGGUAGGUAUAAGUUUAAUGCUUUAAGAAACUGCCAGACUGUUUUCUGAAGUGGUUGCAUGAUUUACAUACCCACUAGCAGUGUAUAAAACGUCUAAUUGUUUUGUUUCCUCUCUAAUGUUUGGUAUGAUAGUCUGUUUAAUUUUAGACAUUUUAGUGGGAUACAGUGAUUUUAUGAGUUUCCUAGAUAAUUAAUGAUUAAUGAUGUCAAGCGUGUUUUCUUGUGCCAUCUUUAUAUUUUCUUUGGUGAAAUGUCUCUUCAAAUCAUUUGUCUAUUUUAAUAUUACGUUUUCUGUUUUCUUUUUUUUUGGGGGGGUGCACCUGUGGUAUAUAGAAGUUCCCAGACUAGGGAUCCAGUCAGAGCUGCAGCUGCUGGCCUACACUACAGCCACAGCAACGCCAGAUCCAAGCUGCAUCUGCAAACUACAUCAUAGCUCAUGGCAAUGCCGGAUCCUUAAUCCACUGAGUGGGGCCAGGGAUCAAACCUGCAUCCUCAUGGAUACUAGUUAGGUUCAUUAUCACUGAGCCACAAGGGGAAUUCCAGCCAAAACCAUCUUGAGAAAGAAAAAUGAAGAUGUAAACAUCAUGCUCCCUGACCCCCAACAAUAUUACAAAGCUAUAGUAAUCAAAAUAGUAUGAUAUUGGCAUGAAAACAUAACAUAUAAAUAAUGGAACAGAAUAGACAAUCCCAAAACAAACCCAUGCAUAUAUGGUCAAUUAAUUUAUGACAAAGUGGCCAAGAAUACACAAUGGGGAAAGGACAGUCUUUUCAAUAAGUGGUGUUGGGAAAACUGGAUAGCCACAAAGAAUAAAUUUGGAUCAUUAUCUUAUACCAUAGAUAAAAAUUUGUUCAAAACGGAUUAAAGAUUUGAAUGUAACACCUGAAACCCAUAAAAUUUCUAAAAGAAAACAUUGGUGGUAAGUGCCUUGAUUUAGGUCUUGGUGGUGAUUUUUUUGUAUCUGAUACCAAAAGGAAAAGCAACAAAAGAAAAACAAGUGGGAUUAAUUAAACUAAAAAGCUUAUGCACAGCAAAAGAAACCAGCAAUAGAAUAAAAAGGCAACCUACAAAAUAAGAGAAAAUACUUGCAAAUCAUAUAUCUGGUAAGGGGUUACUGUUUAAAAUAUACCAAAAAACCCUCAAACAACUCAAUAGCAAAAAACAAUCCAAUUAAAACAUGGGCAGAAUAUCUCAAAAGACAUUUUUCCAAAGAAGACCCACAGGAGUUCCCACUGUGGCACAGUGGAUUAAGGAUUCGAAUGCAGUGGCUUGGGUUGAUGUGGAGGCAUGGGUUUGAUUCUUGGCCUGGUACAGUGGGUUAAAAGAUUGCUGCUCCUUGUACAGUGGGCAUUGCUGCAGCUAUGGUGUAGGUCACAGCUGCAGCUCAGAUUCAGUCCCUGGCCCUAGAACUUCCAUAUGCCUUGGGUGUGAUCAUAAAAAAAAGAGAGAAGACCCGCAGAUGAUCAAGAGGUGUAUGAAAAGAUACUGAACAUCACUAAUCAUCAGGGAAAUGUAAAUCAAAACCACAAUGAGAUGACACCUCACACCUGUUAACUACUAUUAUCAGAAAGGUAAGAAAUAACAACUAUUGGCAAGGGUGUGAAGAAAACAGAACACUUACACACUGCUGGUAGGAAGGUAAAUUGGUGUUGCCACUAUGGAAAACAAUAUGGAGAGUCUACAAAAAAUUAAAAAUUGAAUUACCAUAUGAUCCCUCAAUUCCACAUCAGGUAUUUACCCAAAGAAAACAAAAGCAAUAACUCAAAAAGAUAUAUGCACCCCUACAUUCAUUACAAUAUUAUUUAUAAUAGCCAAGAUAUGGAAACAACCUAAGUGUCCAUUGAUUGAUAAAAGAAUGUGGCAUAUAUACACAAUGGAAUAUUAUCCAGUCAAAAAAAAAAUGAAACCUUGACUUUAUGACAAUACGGAUGGACCUCAAGGGUGUUAUGCUAAGUGAAAUAAUUCAGACACAGAAAGGCAAAGAUUGUAUGAUCUCACUUAUAUGAUAUCGAAAAAUAUAGAGAACAGUUUGGUGGUUGCCAGAGGUAGGGGUGAAAUGGGUGAAGGGUGUCUAAAGGUAUACAUUCCCAGUUAUAAAGUAAAUAAGUCAUGGGAAUGUAAUGCACAGCAUGGUGACUAUUGUUGAUAACACUGUGUUGCGAAGUUUCCAAGACAAUAGAUCUUAAAAACUCUCAUCACAAGAAAAACAAAUUUUUUUUGUGAGUAUUUAUGGUGAUGGACCUUAACUAGACUUAUUGUGGUGAUCACUUCUCAAUGUAUAUGCAAAUACCAAAUCAUUAUGUUGUACUUCUGAAAUUGAUACAAUGUUAUAUGUCAAUUAUACCUCAAUAAAAAAGUAAUCGAUUUUUAUUUACUGAUUUUUAUCUUGCAACAUUGCUAAAUUAAUUUGUUCUGGUAGUUUUGAUAGAUUGCAUAGUAUUUUCUACAAAGAUUUGCAGAUGUUGUCUACAAAGAGAGUUUUAUCUUUUCCUUUUCAAUCUGUGUGCCUAUUCUUUCUAUUGCUUCAUUUCACUGGCUAGAAUCUCUGUACAAUGUUGAAUAUAAAUGAUGAGAACUGACAUCUUAGCUUUUUCUGAGUUUAGGAGGAAAGCAUCAGUCUUUCACCUUUAUGUAUCAUGUUACCUGUAGGUUUUUGUUGAUAUUCCCUAUUGGGUUGAGAAACUUGUCUUUUAUUUCUAGUUUUCUGAAAGAUUUUAUCAGAAACAGAUGUUGGGUUUUGCCACAUAUUUUUAAUGCAUCUACACAAAAUAACUAUAUUUUAUUCAAUGAUUUUUAAAUGUUCAACCAAUAUCAGAUUAUUAGCAUAAACUCCAUUGCAUUAUGAUAUGCUUUUUAUGUACUUUGGAUCCAAUUUCCUGCAAUUUUUGUAUUUUGUCAGUGUUUACUAGGGUUCUGGGUUGGCAGUUAUUUUCUGUCUUUGAUUUUGGUAUCACUGUAAUAAUAACUUCCUCCCAGAAUGAGAAAUUAUUUCCUCCUCUUCAGUAUUCUGGAAAAGUUUGUGUAGAAUUGGUAUUAUUUCUUUUUGUGAAAAGUUUGAUAGAUUCACCAGUAAAGUUGUUUAGGCCUAGCAUUGGUUUUGUCGGGGGGGGGCAGUAUGUUUUUAACUACACAUUAAAUGUCUUUAAUAGUUAUUGGGCUAGCCAGAUUAAUGGUCCCUUAUUCUUUUAAUAUCUUUAGAAUCUGUAGUGAUGUCUCUUUCUCAUUCUUGAUAAUGGCCAUUUGUGUGUUCUCUUUUGUUUUGUUCUUUUUCCCUGAUCAGUCUGGCUAGGGGUGAGGUUGUCAAUUUUAUUGAUCUUUUUAAUAAAUAUUGAGCUUUUCGUUUCAUUGAUUUUUCUCUAUUUUUUUUUCUGUUGACAAUUUAAUUGACUUCUGCAUUUUGGGGGUACAUUUUGCUAUUCUUUUUCUAGUUUCUUAAGGUAGAAGCUCAGGUCAUUGCCAUGAGAUCCUUCUUUUUCUAUAUAGGCGUUAUGUAUUAUAAAUUAUCCUCUAAGUAUUGCUUCUCAUUGUAUCUCACAAAUUUUGAUAUGUUGUGCUUUUAUUUUCAUUCAGUUCAAAAUAAUUUCUAAUUCCCUUUGAUUUCUUUGACCCGUGGGCUAUGAGAAGUGUAUUAUUUAGUUACCAAAUAUUUGGAGAUUUUUCCAGAGAUGUUUCUGUUAUUAUUGAUGUAUAAUUCGAUUCCACUGUAAUAAGGUCAUGAAUUGCAUGAACUGACUCUUUUUAAAGUGAUUGAAACUUGGUUUAUGGCCCAGAACAUGGUCCAUCUUGGUAAGUAGUUUGUGUGCCCUUGAGAAUAAUAAUAUACAUGCUGCUGUUGUAUGGAAUGUUCUAUAAAUAUCAAUUAAGUCAAUUUUUUGGAUAGUGCUUUUAGGUCUUCUAUGUUUUACAGAUUAUUUUUCUACUUAUUCUAUCCAUUAUCAAGAUAGGGGUGUUGAAAUUUCUACCUAUAACUGUGAAUUUGUCGAUUUAUCAUUGUAGUUCUAUCAGUUUUUGCUUCGUGUGUUUUGAAGUUCUGUUCUUAGCAGCUUAAACAUUUAGAACGAUUAUGUUUCGAGUAAUUGAUCCCUUUAUCAAUGUGAAAUGAUAUUAUUAUUCCUAAAUAGAUAUGUUGCUCUGAAAUCUACUUUGUCUGGUAUUACUAUGGCUACUCCAGGUUUCUUUUGAUUAGUGUUAGAAUGUGUCAUGGGUUGAAUAGCAUUCCCUCCCAAAUUGAUGUCUACCUGGAACCUCAGAAUGUGAAGUUAUUUGGACAUACAGUCUUUGCAGAUGCAAUUAAGAUAAGGAUCAAGAUGUGAUCAUACUGGGUUAGGGUGGGCCAAUGAGAGUGUCUUUAUGAGAGACAGAAAAGGACACACAGAGACACAGGGGAGGCCACGU